GUAAGCCGUAUGCGGGAAAACCGCACGUACGGUUUGACGAGGGGCUGCCGACGAAGCCUGAAAAUGGAUUAGUCGGUAGUCUACUCUAC
rnacentral:ncRNA from 1 species